GACAGAGGGUGCAAACGUUUGUUCGGAAUUACUGGGCGUAAAGCGCGUGUAGGCGGCCCUGCAAGUCGGAUGUGAAAUCCCACGGCUCAACCGUGGAAGUGCAUUCGAAACUGCAGGGCUAGAGUCCUGGAGAGGAAGGUGGAAUGCUUGGUGUAGAGGUGAAAUUCGUAGAUAUCAAGCGGAACACCGGUGGCGAAGGCGGCCUUCUGGACAGUGACUGACGCUGAGACGGCGAAAGCGUGGGGAGCAAACAGGG
rnacentral:rRNA from 1 species